rnacentral:rRNA from 1 species
CUACGGGUCGCUGCAGUGAGGGAUUUUGCGCAAUGGGGGGAACCCUGACGCAGCAACGCCGCGUGAGUGAAGAAGGCCCUUGGGUCGUAAAGCUCUGUCAACAGGGAAGAAGUUAUGGAUUUUUAAUAGAGAUUUGUAUUGACGGUACCUGUGAAGGAAGCACCGGCUAACUCCGUGCCAGCAGCCGCGGUAAUACGGGGGGUGCAAGCGUUAUUCGGAAUUAUUGGGCGUAAAGGGCGCGCAGGCGGCCUUGUCAGUCAGAUGUGAAAGGCCAGGGCUCAACCCUGGAAGUGCAUUUGAAACAGCAAGGCUUGAGUACGGUAGAGGAAAGGGGAAUUCCUGGUGUAGAGGUGAAAUUCGUAGAUAUCAGGAGGAACACCGGUGGCGAAGGCGCCUUUCUGGACCUGUACUGACGCUGAGGCGCGAAGGCGUGGGUAGCGAACAGGAUUAGAUACCCGCGUAGUC